CGAUGAUUUGAUCUUGGAUGUAGUAAGCGAGCAAUCUGACAGCUGUGGAAGAAAAGGAUAAACGGCUCCACCGACAGACCUGAAGAACAGGUGUAGCCACGAGGUAACGGCAAGAUAUGGGCGAAUGGAUGGAACUGCUACUUUCGUUUGUGUUUUUAUGGCCAACUGCCGCGAUAAGUCAUGCCACGCUAUUUUUCCGCGAUAACCGGGUGUUUUUGCUAAUAUCUGCGCUCCUGCUGACCAGAGAAGCUGACGCUCUCCGGAUGAUCAGUGCAAGUGUGACGGUGGUUCAAGGAGGUACCGCUAUUUUACCGUGCCAUGUCACUGGUACCAAUGAUGACCUGACACAGAUUACCUGGCAGAGGAGGACGAGAGAAAAACCUCACAAUGACAAUUUCCUCACUAUCCUACCCCGAGAGGGAGUGCAGUUUGUCAAUGGAGGUGAUGAUCGAUUUAAAUAUAUCGGGAAUUUUAACAACAAAAAUGGAACUCUCCAGUUAUCCAAU